ACAGAACAUGGCCAAGAUGUUCAAAUGUUCAUAAAUGACCAGCAUGGUCAAAUAAUAAUUUAUGUACUUCCCCAUAGUCAGUUGAACUUGUAGAUAAUAUUUUGAUGUUUCUGUGUCCAGUAUGAAGGAAGUUAGAGGCAGUUUCGUGAGUUAAUGCUAAUUAGCAUUAGCGCAAUGGCUGGAAGUCUAUGGGUAUCUGCUAGCAUGCCUGCAGUAGUUAAAGGACAUUGCAAAAAUCCCGAAGUAUCCCUUUAAGCCCUUAUUCAUCUGACUGUAACAGAACUUUAUUGUAGAAAUCUCUCACCAUCACUUUAAACUUUGACCUGUACUGAUGAAGAGUGAAUCUCUCACUGUCCCUUUAAACUGUGGUCCUUCUGUAGCUCAGUUGGUAGAGCAUGGCGCUUGUAACGCCAGGGUAGUGGGUUUGAUUCCCGGGACCACCCAUACGUAGAAUGUAUGCACACAUGACUGUAAGUCGCUUUGGAUAAAAGCGUCUUCUAAAUGGCAUAUAUUAUUAUUAUAUAUUAAACUUUGACCUGUACUGAUGAAGAGUGAAUUGGAAAGAGAUGGUCUCCUGACUACCAUGUUGUGUGUCCCUCAGAUCCAGUGCUGAAUGAACAGACCAUCUCCAACACAGACACCAAGGCAAUAAGUGGAUCCAAUGCAACAUGAUGGACAGAGAGGAGGAAAACCUUUGUUACCUCAACUUGUGACCCUUUCGUGGCAGAAACGAUCUGCCUCCAAGUCUACAGCCAUACUGGAGCAAGAAGUCAACUUGCAACACACACAACACUCGUGGAUUAAACCUAAAUCUUUCACAACGUGGGUUCUAGCGUUGCUUGGCCCCAGUCACACACAACGUAUCGGAUCCAAGCUAUGAGGUGUGAUAUUGCCUCCUAGAACUGCCCCCCAGAAAUCCCUGCCCGCUCCCCACCCCACCCAGCUCAACUCCCCUGUUUUCAAAUAAGCUGAUGUCAGAUGUGAUACAGAGACUGACUCCAGGUCAGUUUGGCACUGGUGUUGUGCUGUGAGAUGUGUGUUGGUCAGUAUGGAGCUGCACUGGCCUGGGGUCAGAUCUAUAAUAGCACUGAGUGGCAUGGAGGCUCUUUUCUGCUAUGGAUAGAACAAAUACUAUAUUAAAGAGAAUAAACCAUUUUUAUUUAAAUGUU